ensembl:lncRNA
GGAGGAGAGUAGAGAGACAGAGGAGAGAGAGAGAGGAGAGGAGAGAGAAGGAGGAGAGGAGAGGUGAGAGACGGGGGGAGAGGAGAGAGACGGAGGAGAGGUGAGAGACGGGGAGAGGAGAGAGACGGAGGAGAAGAGAGAGACGGAGGAGAGGUGAGGGACGGGGAGAGGAGAGAGAGACGGAGGAGAGGAGAGAGACGGAGGAGAGGAGAGAGACGGAGGAGAGGUGAGAGACGGGGGGAGAGGAGAGAGACUCGGGAGAGGAGAGAGAUGGAGGAGAGGAGAGAGACGGAGGAGAGGUGAGAGACGGGGGAGAGGAGAGAGACGGGGGGAGAGGUGAGAGACGGGGAGAGGAGAGAGACGGAGGAGAGUAGAGAGACGGAGGAGAGGAGAGAGGAGAGGAGAGAGAAGGAGGAGAGGUGAGAGACGGGGGAGAGGAGAGAGACGGAGGAGAGGAGAGAGACGGGGGAGAGGAGAGAGAGAGAGAGACGACGGAGAGGAGAGAGAUGGAGGAGAGGAGAGAGACGGAGGAGAGGAGAGAGACGGAGGAGAGGAGAGAGACGGAGGAGAGGAGAGAGACUGAGGAGAGGAGAGAGACUGAGGAGAGGAGAGAGACGGGG